rnacentral:tRNA from 1 species
UUUAACCUACAUUAUGUGAUUGGUUUAAAACCAAUCGAAUACCCGACACUGCUGGCUUAAAAC